UUAGAGUUUGAUCCUGGCUCAGGAUGAACGCUAGCGAUAGGCUUAACACAUGCUAGUCGAGGGGCAGCAUGAGAUUAGCUUGCUAAUCUUGAUGGCGACCGGCGCACGGGUGCGUAACACGUAUGCAACCUACCCCUGAUCGGGGGAUAACCCGGAGAAAUCCGGACUAAUACCCCAUGGCAAUCUAGACCGGCAUCGGUUUUGAUUUAAAGAUUCAUUGAUGAGGGAUGGGCAUGCGGAUGAUUAGCUAGUCGGCGGGGCAACGGCCCACCGAGGCGACGAUCAUUAGGGGUUCUGAGAGGAAGGUCCCCCACAUUGGUACUGAGACACGGACCAAACUCCUACGGGAGGCAGCAGUGAGGAAUAUUGGUCAAUGGGCGAGAGCCUGAACCAGCCAAGUCGCGUGAAGGAAGACGGCCCUAUGGGUUGUAAACUUCUUUUGCCGGGGAAUAAAGUGGACCAUGCGUGGUCUUUUGCAUGUACCCGGCGAACAAGGAUCGGCUAACUCCGUGCCAGCAGCCGCGGUAAUACGGAGGAUCCGAGUGUUAUCCGGAUUUAUUGGGUUUAAAGGGUGCGUAGGCGGGAGAUCAAGUCAGUGGUGAAAUGGUGCGGCUCAACCGUAGCAUUGCCGUUGAAACUGGUUUUCUUGAGUGCGAAUGAGGCAGGCGGAAUGUGUUGUGUAGCGGUGAAAUGCUUAGAUAUGACACAGAACACCGAUUGCGAAGGCAGCUUGCUGGGACGCAACUGACGCUGAGGCACGAAAGUGCGGGGAUCGAACAGGAUUAGAUACCCUGGUAGUCCGCACAGUAAACGAUGAUAACUAGCUGUUGGCGAUACCCGGUCAGUGGCUAAGGGAAACCGAUAAGUUACCCCCUGGGGGAGUACCUUCGCAAGAAUGAAACUCAAAGGAAUUGACGGGGGCCCGCACAAGCGGAGGAACAUGUGGUUUAAUUCGAUGACACGCGAGGAACCUUACCCGGGCUUGAAAUCAGUAUGACGUAUCCAGAGACGGAUAUUCCAGCAAUGGCAUACUGGUAGGUGCUGCAUGGUUGUCGUCAGCUCGUGCCGUGAGGUGUCGGCUUAAGUGCCAUAACGAGCGCAACCCUUGCCGGUAGUUACCAUCAUUCAGUUGGGGACUCUGCCGGGACUGCCACCGCAAGGUGUGAGGAAGGUGGGGAUGACGUCAAAUCAGCACGGCCCUUACGUCCGGGGCGACACACGUGUUACAAUGGGGGGGACAGCGAGCAGCCAUGCGGCGACGCAGAGCCAAUCUCCAAACCCUCUCUCAGUUCGGAUCGGAGUCUGCAACCCGACUCCGUGAAGCUGGAUUCGCUAGUAAUCGCGCAUCAGCCAUGGCGCGGUGAAUAAAAGCCCGGGCCUUGUACUCACCGCCCGUCAAG
rnacentral:rRNA from 1 species